rnacentral:rRNA from 1 species
UACGUAGGCAGCGAGCGUUGUUCGGAAUUACUGGGCGUAAAGCGCGUGUAGGCGGCAGGGCAUGUCGGAUGUGAAAUCCCGUGGCUCAACCACGGAAGUGCACCCGAAACUGCCCAGCUUGAGUCUCGGAGAGGAAGGCGGAAUGCUUGGUGUAGAGGUGAAAUUCGUAGAUAUCAAGCGGAACACCGGUGGCGAAGGCGGCCUUCUGGACGAUGACUGACGCUGAGACGCGAAAGCGUGGGGAGCAAACAGG